CUGUCAUAAAAUGAUAAAAUAACAUUAAAUUAUAAAAUAACAGUUGAAAUCAUUAAAAUAGAGUUUAUUUAGCAUAUAUUUAACAAUAUAAAAGCUACAAAUUAAUUUGAUUCUAAGAUAUAGUGUUUCUAAAUUGGAGUCUGAGGGGACCCCAGCUAGUCUCUCGCGGGAUUUUUUUAACCCGUGCAACAAAGGGUUAAGUCAAACAUGGCUUCUAUCACCGUUUUACCUAUUCAGUUAUUUUGAUCUUAUUAUGUUAUUGCACGAAAAAUGGUCGCAUUUUAUUUUAAGGAUUAUCAUAUUAUAAUUUAGUAUUCAAAAUAAUCAACUAAACAAACAUUAACUUAUAAAUAAAUCAAAAUUAUUAUAAGUUAUAGAAAAAUCAAUUCUAUUUUUUUUUGUUAUUGUAUUGUAGAUUAUAAACAUACAUCUUAAACAUUAUUCCAUUCAAGUUUAUAUAAUUAAAUGGCUGCUGCAAACAUCGCACAACCAGAAAGUUGGGAUAUGAUUAUUAAAAGAACUCAAGUCACUUUAGGAAAAAUCAUAAAAAAGCCUCCAUUAAAACCCGAAUUAUUACAGAAACCACCUUUCCGUUUCCUCUUCGACAUAAUUCAUGAAGUUAUAACUACUACUGGAUUCAUGCAAGGGUUAUAUACGGAAGAAGAAUUGACUCCAGAUUACUACCAGGAUCGAGAUACAAAAUCUUUAUUCUUAGAAAAGGCGUUAUUUUGCGUUAUAUUCACCAAAGGACAAACUCUCAAAGCAAAUCCUUUAAAAAUUUUAGCCGGGUUAGAACCGGAAAGAACCAAUUCUUUCCUGCAAGCUCUAGGUUAGAAAUAAAUUCGGUUUAUCGGUGUUGUAACAAUGACUCUCGCCGACUCCGCUUCACGGGAGAACCGCGAUUUCUUCAAUAAAAAAAAUUAUACAUUUAUAUAUUGCCUUACAUACUAUUUGACGAUUACUAAGAAGUAUAUGUCUACUAGAAGGCUACGAUAGUACCACGGCUGUGCAGAGAGUUUUGUCGGGAGAAAGACCAUAUUAAUUAUCAUAUAUUUCUGUAUUUUUUACUUUCCAAGCAUAUUUUCGCAUUAUUUUAAUUCUAUCAUUUUUCUUUUAAAAUAAUGUUUACUUUAAAUAUAUUCAUAAUUAUAUUUGUAAAAG